GGCUCAGGAUGAACGCUGGCGGCGUGCCUAAUACAUGCAAGUCGAACGAGGUGCUCAAGUAGCAAUACGAGAGUAUCCUAGUGGCGAACGGGUGAGUAACGCGUUGGUGACCUGCCCCAAAGUGUGGGAUAACAGUCCGAAAGGACUGCUAAUACCGCAUGUGGUCUUCGGAUCCAGAAACCGAUGACUAAAGGAGUAAUCCGCUUUGGGAGGGACCUGCGUCCCAUCAGCUAGUUGGUAGGGUAACGGCCUACCAAGGCUACGACGGGUAGGGGACCUGAGAGGGUGGCCCCCCACAAUGGAACUGAAACACGGUCCAUACACCUACGGGUGGCAGCAGUAGGGAAUAUUGCACAAUGGGCGAAAGCCUGAUGCAGCAACGCCGCGUGUGCGAAGAAGGCCUUCGGGUCGUAAAGCACUUUUCUGAGAGAUGAGAAAGGACAGUAUCUCAGGAAUAAGUCUCGGCUAACUACGUGCCAGCAGCCGCGGUAAAACGUAGGAGGCGAGCGUUAUCCGGAUUCACUGGGCGUAAAGCGCGUGCAGGCGGUUCGGUAAGUUGGGCGUGAAAUCUCCUGGCUCAACUAGGAGAGGUCGUUCAAUACUACCGGGCUAGAGAGCGGUAGAGGAAGAUGGAAUUCCCGGUGUAGUGGUGAAAUGCGUAGAUAUCGGGAGGAACACCAGUGGCGAAGGCGAUCUUCUGGACCGUUUCUGACGCUCAGACGCGACAGCUAGGGUAGCAAACGGGAUUAGAGACCCCGGUAGUCCUAGCCGUAAACGAUGUGAACUUGGCGUCGGUGGGUUAAACUCCAUCGGUGCCGCAGCUAACGCGAUAAGUUCACCGCCUGGGGACUACGGCCGCAAGGUUAAA
rnacentral:rRNA from 1 species